rnacentral:lncRNA from 1 species
UUAUGAAGUGUGUUAUUUGAACAACUAUUUAUGAGACAACUUUUGAAACAACCAUAAAAUUAUAAAGAAAAAUUGAUAUUAACACGAAAACCAAAGCAAUAAAGAAAGUAAAAACAUAAUAUAAGGAUGAGGGAGAAAGUUGUCAUCAAAUUGUUCCACAGGUAUCAUUUCUCUCAAGUUAUAGUAUUAGUACAACGGAAGGUAAAACCGAGAAUUACAGUUUUUAGGGUGUUUCUCCCCUUUGGUAUUUUCAUUGCAGCUUUUACAAAAGCUUCCGUUGCAUCUGCAUCCCGCUUCUGCAGCCUCCUUUGUUGCCUCUUCAGCUUCCGUAGUGGCGGCUUCCACUUCAGUAACUGCUCCAUAAGGGAUAUUGCUAAUUUUUAAUCUAACUCAGAAUUCGUAGGGAUAUUGCUCUCAGCCCUGUCAAAUUUCAUAUGAGGCUUUCCGCCCCCCUUCCAAUAAUAACAUGGGUUGGUGUCUUCCUCUGUCUGAAUAUGCUGGGGUAGGUGCAAUCCUAUACCUUCCUUUCACUGAAAUAUAAAACACAACCCAUGAGUCUGGCCUCUAAUUGAAAACAUGUAAAUAUGACAUCCAAAAAUGAGAAUAGCAUCCAAAUAUAGCUCACAAUACAUGUAUACACUAAACCAUGAAAAAAUAUUGAUUCCUAAUAUAUAUAUAUAUAACAAAAACCAUUUCUUUAGUAUGGCAAAAACUGUUUUUAAUUCACACCAGAAGAUAUUAAUUUUGUCUGUCUUCAUUGGAAAAUAUAGGGUUGUAUACUAGAACCUCAGCACAAACCCACAACCAGCAGCUGUAUCUAAGCAAUAGACUAACAGCAUUGACAGCAACACUUUAUUACAAAUAGAUAUAACUCCGAAUAAAAAAAUAUUGCAAGGAUUAUUUCUCAUCAUUUCGUCACAAUUUUCAUUUUAACUCUAUAUCUUUCGUUAUUACUUUCAGCCUCACUCCAAAUCCUCUUGUCCGGAGAUUUUUUUAUUCAGCUAUUACUCCAUAUCCUGUAAUAUAAAUGUAAUACCAUGGUUUGUCUAAGUCGUAGGUUUGGGGCCGAACUCAACCCCACUGUGCGGCUUGUAAAGUGCAGAUUGCCUAGACAUUAGAGGUUCUAUUUAGGCCUUAUCUCACACCAAUGUGAGCCAUGAGUUUUUCUAAUACACCUGCUCACGCCUAACUCAUGGCUAACACAGUGGCCCAAGAAUGUAUCUAUGAUAGACACUAAUACCAUCUAAUGUUUUGGGACUGAUUCAACUCCAACAAACCAACUUCUAAGGUGAGGAUUGCCUAGGCUUUAUAAGCUCUACUCGGGCCUUAUUUCUAUCCAAUGCGAGACUUUGAUUCAGAUUUGCCCAUGAAACAGCAAACAUAAAACAAUACUGUAGAGAAGAACCCACUCCUAAAAGAUAGGGGAUGUACAGACAGGUCAACCUCUCCUACAAAUGGAAAAUCCAUGUUUUAAUCUCAUUCAAUACUCAUGUUCCUACAUUAACCCACAGGCUAGGGUUGUAAAGGGAACCCACACUGGUGAUUGGAGAAAACAAAUGCAUUUAUGAUAAUUUUUAUUCUAUGAUUGCAUCAGAUGCAUGAGUCACACCACUCAAGCUUCUUUGUGCAAAUUGGCUCACUUGACAUUCAGCAUAAUGGCUCAAUUUUAGCCUUCUUUUUUCAUACUGGCGGUGCUUCAUGAUGCCUCAACUUUGCAAAAUCAAAGCAAUUAAACAUAUGCGUAAUCAGAGCUGUCAUAUGUAGUUGAUUAUCAUUUCUUAUUUUUUUGCAUUUGUUAAUUUUCUUUUCCGAUUUCUAACAUUUAUAAGUUCUAGAACUGUAAAUAAGAAUAGUUUCUUGUAAUGUAUACACACAGCAAGUUUGUUCAUUUAUUAGUUAAAUCCAAUGCACGAGGCUCCCA